ACAUGCCUAUUAGAUCACUGUCGAUACGAGUUGAAAGUACCUGAUUAGGCUUUUUACCGGUGUUAGUCAACAUGUGCUGUGAGCUGACUUUUUAAGGGCAAAAGUUAGAUAAACAGAAAGGAGAGACGAGAGAAGUCUUGCUCUCCUCUCCUUUAUAUGGUCUCUCUAUCCGUCCACUACAUCUGUGACUGCAGCUUCAGUGAGGACACACUGGGGAGAAAGCCAGGUACUCAUCUUAAAUAUUCUUGUCAAAAACUCCUGGUGAUAUAUAAGAGACAUUUCCUGCUACGGGAAGGUUUAAUGGUUACUGAAGCCGUGUGAGGAUCCAAGAAUCUCAGCGUAUCAGUUUUAAGCUGACAGCUGCGAGGGCCCAGUCAGCUCUCGGCCCCGCUCUGGCAGACGCAGCGCAGCGGCAGACGGCCGUCUUAACUGCCACAGUCAGAGUGGAGCGGAUUUUUCUUUGAUGAAACACAGCAGCGUCGAGCCAAGAACAGCAAGUGGCACAGCCGAGAUGUAAAUCAAAAACCCACCCGUGUGCUAAGUCAUACACAGAGAGGUCUGCGAGAGGAGUCGCUGCUGUCUGAAAAUGCGCUCGCAGACUCUGCAGCUUCGUCCUGGGCCAGGAGAAACUUUAGGAAGGUAUCGAAUGAUGCUAGAGUACACACUUCAUUCAAACCUGAUAUUCUUUUUCAAGAGGGGUCAAGUGUUUUCCUUUGCAAGCUAAAUAUUUUCUUUGCUGGUGGGCACCAAUAUUCAUAGCACAGUGGAACCGCAGUGUAAGGACGAUCAGCCGCUGUUCCACUCGCGAAGAGCAAUACACAUGGUUUCCAAACCGACGCACCGGGUGUGAUAUGGGUCGCUGUGAU